UUCUCCAUGCACUCAUUUCUUCCUGGAGAAAAACUGUAAACUCAUCAACAAUCCUCAGCUGAACCGCGUUGUUUUUUUUCCUCUCGCGCUCCCUCUUUUCCCCGGAGCGUCUGACGGGAAGACGGAUGUCUUUGUUCUUGUUUACUUUCCCCACUUCCCUCGUUUUUUUCCUCUCGGCUCUGCGGAGCAAAGCCGACGCGCACCAUUCAGGGGCAGCGCGUGGCCUGAAGCGGGAUCAGAGUACACGAGGUGCCCUUGGCGAGACAGAUAAGCUGCAGUAAUAUGAUUACACGUCCUGCAUUGUGCAACCCAUGACUCAACCUCUAAUUACAGCUGUGCUGCACUGUUUGCAGGUAAACCGCGGCUCACGACGCUCUGAAUGCCGUCCAGCGAGCCGAUUUCACACUUGUCCUUUGCACCGCGCCGUGAAUCUGGGUGGAAAUGGGCGUCAAAAGAAGUGAUCAUCUCAGUGGAAAAGCACUCCAGAUGUCUCCUGCAUCCCUGCAGAUUCAUGUUCUCUUUUUUUAAGGUAUCGCAGAAGGAGCGGCCUGGAAUGACCUAGAUUUGUAGAGGAGCGACGGCUCAUUUGGGCUCACAGCGGCGGGACGAACCCAGGGGACGCAGCGAGAUGCUUAAGGACAGAAACGCUGCUUAUUUUAGUGCUGCACAUUUUACGAUUCUCAAAUAAUAUCGUAUUUAUUGUGGUUGCACCCAUUUUGACGCAAAAGGUUUUUAUUACCCACACUGUAGUGUGCUGUUGGUCAUAAAUAGUAUUCAAACAAUAAAGGUCACCAUAUCAGCAGGGCAGCUGCUAUAAUGUCAAUAAAACAAAAUCACAUGAGACAGGCACAAAACUGAUGCAUUUGCUUGAAAGUAUUAGCAUGUAGCUAAAUUACCUUUCUCAACUACAAUGGCGUUUUAGUGCCAAGUUUUUUCCAAUUUUUUUUUUAAAUCUAAGAUUACAAGAUCAUAAUAUUUAAAAUAUAAAGACAAAAUAUUACGGGAAUAAAGUCUAAAUACUACGAGAAUAAAGUGGGAAUACUACGAGAAUAAAGUCGUAAUACUACGAGAAUAAAGUGGGAAUACUACGAGAAUAAAGUGGGAAUACUACGAGAAUAAAGUGGGAAUACUACGAGAAUAAAGUCGGAAUACUACGAGAAUAAAGUCAGAAUACUCACGAAUAAAUUCAAAAUACUACGAGAAUAAAGUGGGAAUACUACGAGAAUAAAGUGGGAAUACUACGAAAAUAAAGUGGGAAUACUACGAGA